rnacentral:rRNA from 1 species
UACGUAGGGUGCAAGCGUUGUCCGGAAUUAUUGGGCGUAAAGAGCGUGUAGGCGGCCUGGAAGGUCAGCUGUGAAAACUCGAGGCUCAACCUCGAGACGUCGGUUGAAACCACCUGGCUAGAGUCCGGAAGAGGAGUGUGGAAUUCCCGGUGUAGCGGUGAAAUGCGCAGAUAUCGGGAAGAACACCCGUGGCGAAGGCGGCUCUCUGGGACGGUACUGACGCUGAGACGCGAAAGCGUGGGGAGCGAACAGG